AUUUAACACAUUAGAUAACAUGCCACCAGUGGAGUUUUCUGUAACUUUUUUACCAAUCAGAUGUGGCCAUGCAGUCACAUGUCCAGUUUGAAACUGUGGCGGGCAGAGCGGCCCAAGCGUUUCAAAGUAGCGACACACGUAAAGAAGAAACAUGAAAACAUGGCAGAGUCUACGCUAGAGCUGAAGAGGAUGAACAGCCUUGGCCUCACAUACAAAGAAUGUUUUGCUUAAAAGCAGCACAAAAGAACAGCUCUGUCUUCAGUGAGAGCCAAAACAACAACUUUUCAGCGUGAAACAACUCAGCUCGUGUAACCUGAGUCUCCACUUCAUCAGACACCACCUAGACUCAGAGCUGGAUGAGACCAGCACAAACAGCAGCCUAACCGACUAAGAUGAUGGAUCCAUGGGGUCAGGAAAGCCAGAAGCAGGGCUGGAGAGGUACCUUUCAUGUCCAUUCACUGGAGGUGUGGAUCUAUUGCAUGGCGUUCCUCACAUCAAGAAGCUGUCGAUCAAAAUCAAUACAGCUCUUCCUGCAUCAGGAGCUUGUGAAGGAAUCUUAGUCAUGCAGGACUCCUGUUCACUGCUGAACAGUUGAGAGCAAACUGCUGCUGAAGCUGAACCAUCACCUCACUGAGUGAAGAAAUGGCACAUUUUUGCUAAAUAUGCAGAAACAGAUGCAUACCCAUACAACUGAUGGUAAACUGAGCUGCCUUGUAUGAACAUAUGUUGAAGAUGCCUCGUUCUGUUUUCUCUGAGGCUGCUGUGCCAUUUGGAGCAAAGAUGAAUAUAAAGUUUACAGCAUAUCUUUUCACUGGAAAUAGUUUGCACUGUUUAUAUGUUUAUAUUAUUUACUGCAGGUGUUGGUGAAAAAAGCUUUAUGUUGUGAAAAACUGAAAUCUGAAAAUUAGAAUUGUUGUGCCUUAUUUUGAUGUUUUUACAUAUAUUCCUGUUGAAAAUAGUAAAAUUUGUAUAUUUAUUUAUUUUUGUUUGUCUGAUAGCAUUUAUUUAUAAAAUAAAUCGGACAUUUCAAAC
ensembl:lncRNA